UGGGGAAUUUUGGACAAUGGGCGAAAGCCUGAUCCAGCAAUGCCGCGUGUGUGAAGAAGGCCUUCGGGUUGUAAAGCACUUUUGUCCGGAAAGAAAUCCUUGGCUCUAAUACAGUCGGGGGAUGACGGUACCGGAAGAAUAAGCACCGGCUAACUACGUGCCAGCAGCCGCGGUAAUACGUAGGGUGCAAGCGUUAAUCGGAAUUACUGGGCGUAAAGCGUGCGCAGGCGGUUUGCUAAGACCGAUGUGAAAUCCCCGGGCUCAACCUGGGAACUGCAUUGGUGACUGGCAGGCUAGAGUAUGGCAGAGGGGGGUAGAAUUCCACGUGUAGCAGUGAAAUGCGUAGAGAUGUGGAGGAAUACCGAUGGCGAAGGCAGCCCCCUGGGCCAAUACUGACGCUCAUGCACGAAAGCGUGGGGAGCAAAACAGGAUUAGAUACCCUGGUAGUCCACGCCCUAAACGAUGUCAACUAGUUGUUGGGGACUUCAUUUUCCUUAGUAACGUAGCUAACGCGUGAAGUUGACCGCCUGGGGAGUACGGUCGCAAGAUUAAAACUCAAAGGAAUUG
rnacentral:rRNA from 1 species